CUCAGGGUGGAGACUUUGUGGUACAGAGCUGGAGAGAGCCAUUUGAGGGCUUUGUGGAGCUCAGAGUAUGCCUGAUUUGGGCAAGGACUGGUGGAAAACUGCCCCUCCAGGGUCACAGCCAAGGAGUGGCCUACAGUUGAAGACUAGAUAGGAAGCUUAGAGGAAGGCUGGAAAUCCAGGACAGGGACAGGAAAAAGAGAGGCAGAGGAGACACCAGUUGCCACCACACAAAGCAACAUGUGAAAGCACUGGCAUAUUCGUGUCCUAAAGGUGACGUAAAAGGAAAGAUCCAGACAACUGAAAAUAUAAGAAUGCAGAACAACUGGAGAGAGGCCUUUGAACGUGAGAAAUGGAAUGAAGUGACAAGGAAUCAAAUACUCACCUGAAGAUACUUCAGAACGGUGACACCUGAAGAGAGACAUGGGAGAGAAUGGUUAAAAAGAGCAGGUUAAUAUUUUACAAUGAGCAGAGAUUAUUUAAAGAGUAAUUCUCUGGCGAGAUGAAAAAGGAAGUGAAAUUGAGAAAUGGUGCUUCAUAGAGCAGCAGGACAGCAGUGCUCCAGAGGAUAUAAAGAAGGAAAAGUGAAUAAUAAAGACACUGAACUAUUUUGGAUUAUAAAGAUGUAUGAUGAGGCACCCACGGCAUUCAAACUUGAUCUUUCUCUCUCUCCAUAUCACUGUGUCUCAUAUAUAUAUGGGGGGGCAGAGAACAUGUUUAUAACUUUUUUAGUUUUAUGGCAAACUUAAAACUGGUCUCAAAAGAAACAUUAUACUUUUUAUUUUUAAAUGUUGCAAAUUCAAAUGUUCCCUCUAGUUAAUAGGAGAAAUUCAGGUGUGAGGGAA